CCCCCCCGGGCCCCCCGCGGCUCUCCUCCCCCCCACCCCCGACCCGGGCGCGACCCCGGGGUCCCCCAGCAGGAGGGCGGCCCUGGAGGAGCGGGUCCCCCGGGGGAGGCAGGAGAGGCAGGGACCCCGCGCGCCCCCGACCCAGGGCGCGACCUCGGGGUCCCCCGCGGGAGGGCGGCCCGGGAGGAGCGGGUCCCGGGGAGGGAGGGAGGGAGGGAGGAGAGCGGGGACCCCCGCCCGCGCGGUCCAGGGGCGCCCCGGGGAGGGCAGCGGCGGGCGGGGGUGGACGCGGGGCGCCGAGCUCACCUGGCGGCCGGCGUCCCGGAGCGGAGGCUGCCCCCGCCUGGCCCCCGCGUGCUUCCCGGAGCCGGGCGGCCUCGAGCCCGCCGCAUGGACGGCCGCCGCCUCCUCCGCCUCCGCCUCCUCCUCCUCCUCCUCCUCCGCCGCCGCCGCCGCCUCCGCCGCCUGCACGGGCUCCCGCUGCGCCUUGGUCCGGCGUCGGGGCGAGCGGGCGGCGGGCGGCUGCGGUGCGCGCGGAGAGCCGGGCCCCGAGUGUGCGACCGGCCCUGCGGGGACCCGCGCGGCCUCCCCGUCCCUCCCCCGCCCCCGCCCCCCGCCCCGCUCCGGCCUCCCGCUGUCAUGGGGCCGCGCCUGCCGCCGCCUGGCGGCCGCCGCGGGAAGGGCCGGCCCGCGCCCCCCACCCCGCCGCGACCCCCGGGCCCGGCGCCCCCACCCCCACCCCGACCCCCGGAGAACCCGCAGCACCCGGAAACCCGAGGGCGGCCUAGACGGGAGGGCGGCGAGGGCCCGAGGGAGCAAGCGCGGCCGGUGGGCGGGGAUGCGCGGCGGGAGCCCGACAGGGGCCCAGGCGGGAGCCCCGAAGGUCCCAGACGGACCCGCGCAUCCUUGUGUUUGGAACAAUCACUCUGGCAACAGGAUAGGCCUGAGGCUGAGCCCAGGAACCAAGGAAAGUCUCCCUGGGAGCCCGAGCAGGGAAGAAGGCCUGACUCCAAAGGGCGCCCGGGUCGCCCUCACUCCUGUGCUCACGCACAAGGUCACAAGGCGAUAAUAUUCACAGGUCGAAGGCAUCACCCAGAUUGA
rnacentral:lncRNA from 1 species